rnacentral:rRNA from 1 species
GAUGAACGCUGGCGGCGUGCCUAAUACAUGCAAGUCGAGCGAAGCGAGGACGGGUGAGUAACACGUAGAUAACCUCCUAAAGGAAUGGGAUAACUUCGGGAAACAGGAGCUAAACCGGAUAAUUAGGGGUUGAUCUUGGCUGCAUUAGCUAGUUGUUAAGGUAACGGCGUACCAAGGCAACCAUGCAUAGACGACCUGAGAGGGUGAUCGGCCACACUGGAACUGAGACACGGUCCAGACUCCUACGGGAGGCAGCAGUAGGGAAUCUUCGGCAAUGGGCGAAAGCCUGACGGAGCAACGCCGCGUGAGUGAUGAAGGUCUUCGGAUCGUAAAACUCUGUUAUUAGGGAAGCGGUACCUAAUCAGAAAGCCACGGCUAACUACGUGCCAGCAGCCGCGGUAAUAC